rnacentral:tRNA from 1 species
CUCGAGUCACCACGGUCCGGUCUACGAAACCGGCGGUUGAAGGUUCGAGUCCUUCCACUCGCGU